CAUUAGCGUAUAUUUAAGUUGCUGCAGUUAAAAAGCUCGUAGUUGGAUUUCGGGUGGGAAUGGCCGGUCCGCCGUUUCGGUGUGCACUUGCUACGCCCACCUUGCUGCCGGGGACGUGCUCUUGAGUUCACGCUCGGGACACGGAGUCGGCGAGGUUACUUUGAGUAAAUUAGAGUGUUCAAAGCAGGCCUACGCUCUGAAUACAUUAGCAUGGAAUAACACGAUAGGACUCUGGCCUAUCUUGUUGGUCUGUAGGACCGGAGUAAUGAUUAAGAGGGACAGUCGGGGGCAUUCGUAUUUCAUUGUCAGAGGUGAAAUUCUUGGAUUUAUGAAAGACGAACUACUGCGAAAGCAUUUGCCAAGGAUGUUUUCAUUAA
rnacentral:rRNA from 1 species